GAUGAACGCUGGCGGCGUGCCUAAUACAUGCAAGUCGAGCGAACAGACGAUGAGCGUGCGCCUCUGACGUUAGCGACGGGCGGGUGAGUGACACGUGCAUAACCUACCUCUUUGACGGGGAGAACAACGUGAGAACGGAGCCAAUAACAGAGCAUAUAAUGUACCGGAGAGAGCAAUAGUGAAUGACGGUUUUGCUGUCACUUAUAGAUGUAGCCGCGCCGCAUUAGCUAGUUGGUAAGGUAACGGCAUACCAAGGCGACGAUGCGUAGCCGACCUGAGAGGGUGAUCGGCCACACUGGAACUGAGACACGGUCCAGACUCCUACGGGAGGCAGCAGUAGGGAAUCUUGGGCAAUGGGCGCAAGCCUGACCGAGCCACACCGCGUGGGUGAAGAAGGCCUUCGGGUCGUAAAGCCCUUUUGUUAGGAAAGAAAAGCUGCAGAUUAAUCCCCCGCUGUUCUGACGGUACCCAAUGAAUAAGCACCGGCUAACUUCGUG
rnacentral:rRNA from 1 species